AUGAAGAUGAGAGAGAGGAAUGAGGCAGAUGGACUGAGCUCAGAUAUGACAACCAAAACUCUCAAUGCAGGUUAGAAUAUGGAUGUUUCUGGAAAUUCUGUAUUUCGGCCUGCCCUUACAAUGAAGUCAACACCUGACAGUGUGACACAAUGACAAUGACAGUGGGAAUAUAUAAGACAUUGUUCAGAGAAAUAUUUUACUUGAUUCAGAAUACAACAUUUUCACAGAAGAGUUUUCAAAAGGAAGCUUUAAUCAUAUACUCACUUGCUGUUUCAUCUGUGUAUUUGCUGUGUUGAUAAAAAAUGUGUGUCUGCAGAUCACAGUAGAGGCUGUUAUUGGUAGUUCUGUUGUUCUGCCGUGUUCUUCAACUGAACUUCUUAAACUCCAAAACAUUGAUGUGAGCUGGAGACACAAUGACAGCAAGAUUGUAUGUGACAUAAUUCCAUACAGCACUUCACCAGUGACACAGGACACAGAGUACAAGAACAGAGCUGAAACUUUCCCUCAGGAGUAUCUGAGAGGAAAUUUCUCCAUCAAACUCAACAAUCUUAAACACACUGAUUCAGGACAAUACAUCUGCUACAUCAAAAACUCAAAUGAGCUUAAGACUGUAAAGCUGAUCAUUAAUGAAUCAAUAUCCACUGAACAAGGAAACCAAAGAGAACCAGAACAGGAGAGUCUGCUGCUAUCAUUGGUACUUUUGGUUUGCAUUAUAUUAUUUAUAGCGGUCAUUAUUUUCAUCGUAGUUGUAGUUUUCUGGAGAGAAAGGUGCCCAAUCAGACACAGGGCAGCUGUAAAUUGCGUUGGUUCGGGCAUUCAUGAGGUUGUGAACCAGUAAAGGCUGAUAAUCAUGACAAAGCAGUUGUAAAUGACAGACCUGUACAGCUUUGCUUUCCUGCAGCAACUGCAUUAGCUUUUGCAUUAAAUAUAGAGUCAGAGGAUGAAGUAUCUGCCUUCUCACUUUCAUUCACCUAAUUAAAAUAU